rnacentral:sRNA from 1 species
UUCAAGGAAAUAUAGCCUAAGUACGCCGCGUCCUGCGGCAACAGCUACAUGAGACCCACAUUCUAUUGG